ensembl:lncRNA
GGGGGUCCCUGGCAUCCUGCUGCCGGCCCUGCACACACAGCGGGAGGAGGCGCAGCCAGGGACCAACACGAAAGGCACCCCGACGCCUGUUCCCGUCCCUGUGGGCCUGGAUCCCGGGCAGCCUGCUUGAGGUUGAGAGGGAGAGAAAACGGGACCGACCUGGGGUUUGUGGUACUCUGAACAGGGCCCGCCUCGCACUCAGAACCACAUUGAAGCAACCUGGGAACAGGUGUCCGCGCCUGGGUCUGAUUGUGUGCAAGAAGGAGCCUCCGAGAGCCCGUGAGGGCGCCCGCCCAGCCCUGCUGGGAGAGCGGCCUGGAGUUCAUGGCUACGCGGAGGGGCUGGCACACGGGCUCCGAACCCCAGACACGCGGGAGACGGGCAGGUCCCGCCCAGCAGCGGCGAAGGCCCCAGGGUGGGUUUGCAGGGCGGGUGGCUGUGGCCGGGAGGGGGCAGCUCCCAGCCUGCUUGGGUUCACAGCUGUGUGCGGCGGCGCCAUCACUGCAGGCCCGGAGGAGGUGAGCCGGAUCCUCCGCGCUUCCACCAAGGCUCCUUGGGGUCUGACAGGCAGCCCGGGGCAAAGGCCGCUGUCCAGGCCCGUGGUGUGGCCAGAGGGGCUGCCAGCUGCCCGAGGCACAGUGCAGGUGCAGGGGCCCCGCAGCUCAGGGCCUCUUGUGUCGCUGGAGCAAGGAUCUAGAGUCAGCUCGCGGUGUGGACAGAGGCCAGGGCAGGAAGGCUGGACCGAGGGGCACCCGACGGCCUGCAGGGAGAAAGCCCAAGUGUGGAGGCCGGCGCUGUGGUGCAGCGGGCAAAGCCACCGUGGCAUAGUGGUAAGCCUCCUCUGGUGCCGGCAUCCCGCAUAGGCGCCGGUUUGUGUCCUGGCUGCUCCACUUCCGAUCCAACUCCCUGCUAAUGGCCUGGGAAAGCAGAGAAGAUGGCCCAGGUGCUUGGGCCCCUACACCUGCGUGGGAGACCCGGAAGCAGCUCCUGGCUCCUGGCUGUUGCAGUCAUGUGGAGAGUGAACCAGCAGAGAGGAGAUCUCUCCUUUCUCUCUCUCUCCUCUCUCUCCUCCCUCUCUCUCUCUCUCUCUCUGUCCCCUCUGUCCUCUCUCUCCUGUCUCCUCGCUCUCCUCUCUCUCUCUCUCUCUCCCCUCUCCGCUCUCUCCUCUCUCCUCUCUCCUGUCUCCUCUCUCCUCUCUCUCUCUGUCCUCUCUCUCUUUCUCUCCUCUCUGUCCUCUCUCUCCUCUCUCUCUCUCUCUGUCCUCUCUGUCCUCUCUCUCCUUUCUCUCCUCUCUCUCCUCCCUCUCCCCUCUCCCCUCUCUCCUCUCUCCUCUCCCCUCUCUCCUCUCUCUCCUCUCUCUCUCUCCUCUCUCUCUCCCCUCUCCCCUCUCUCCUCUCUCUCCUCUCUCUCUCCCUCCUCUGUCCCCCUGUCUCGCUGUAGCUCUUUCAAGUACAUAAAUAAGUCUUUUUGUAAACCAAAAGCAGGAGUGGAGAGGCGUCCCUCGGCCAGGGUCUCCCUCGCAGAGCCGGCAGGUGCAGCAGCAGCAGGCGGUGCCCGCGUGGCCCUAGCACCUGCCGUCGCGACUGAAGCUGCCGGGGCCGCUCCGGGAGGCCUCCAGCUCCCUUGCCAGGUUCUCCGGAGAGACACUUCUGUGCCCGUGCCGGACUCCAGAGGAUCUGAGAAUGUUUUGAGGAAGCCCGGCUUUGCCCGUGUGCCGGGUCAGCGAGCUGCACCCUGGGCCUGGAGGAGACCCAGGUUUUCCUCCCCCCAUGGUUGACUGCUGGAGGUUCCUCCGGGGCCACAGAACUGGACGCAGAGAUGCGGCUGCCCCGGGACGGCCCGCGGAGGCCCUCGGAGAAGACACGGAGCACCAGGUCGCCGUCUCCGACGUCCUCGGCCUCGUGUGCGAUGAGCCGCCGGCGGCCGCCACUCCCACAGGUGAGCGCCCGCGUUCCCGCCCCAUCUGGAGGUUCAUGGUGAGAGCUCGGGCCGGCGGGACCCUGGGCCUGGCUGGGUCAGGCGGCUCACCCCUGCCCACCGCCCGUGACAAGCUGUGUGGCCGCCUGGCUCCCUGCUGGUUGCUGAAGCGAGCGUGUUAAGACGAGGUUGGCUCCGGCUGGCGGUGGUGAGACACCCCCUGGGUUUUCAGCACAGUGCACCUGCCAGGACUCUGUGCGGCUCCGCCUCGCGUCUCGAGAACAGAACAGCUAUUGUGUGAGUCGUGGGCUGGUCUCCACGUCCGCCUGGCUGCGGGACGGCACCGGCUGAGCGGCGAGGGGCCCCUCUCCUGGGGCCGGAGGGGGUCGGUUGUCCGGCAGGUGGCACCUGCCUCUGCCCUUGGCCCCCCCCGACAGCGCCCUCAUCUCCUCCCUGAGGGGAGAGGCUCCGCCCCCCGUUCUCGGUUUGGCGUUUGCCGGCUUGUUGCCUUUCCCUCCGAAACUGACCCCAAAAGUGAAGUUUCUGCCCGGCCCAGCGGGGCGGCCGGGUGCCAGCUGGAAGUGCAGUGUGCGCCCAAGCUUGCCCGGCAGGGGGGCGGGUCUGAGAGAAUGCUGGUGCUGCUCCGGUCUGGGCCUGGGGCCUGGACCGGGGGCUUCCUGGGUGCAGACUUGGUUCUGGGGCGUCCCACACUGGAGCCUCCCCCCCCAUCCUGAACGCACACCACCACGCCGAGGGCCGUGCCAGGGUUUCCGUGCCACAUGUGGGCUGGCCAGUGGCAGCUCCGCCACACACUGACCUGGGGCCCGCGUGGGUGCAGCCCCUGGUGGUCUCAGCCUUGA